AUUGAACGCUGGCGGCAUGCCUUACACAUGCAAGUCGAACGGUAACGGGCCUUCGGGUGCCGACGAGUGACGAACGGGUGAGUAAUACAUCGGAACGUGCCCGAUCGUGGGGGAUAACGAGGCGAAAGCUUUGCUAAUACCGCAUACGAUCUACGGAUGAAAGCAGGGGACCGCAAGGCCUUGCGCGGACGGAGCGGCCGAUGGCAGAUUAGGUAGUUGGUGGGAUAAAAGCUUACCAAGCCGACGAUCUGUAGCUGGUCUGAGAGGAUGAUCAGCCACACUGGGACUGAGACACGGCCCAGACUCCUACGGGAGGCAGCAGUGGGGAAUUUUGGACAAUGGGCGCAAGCCUGAUCCAGCCAUGCCGCGUGCAGGAUGAAGGCCUUCGGGUUGUAAACUGCUUUUGUACGGAACGAAAAGCCUUCUUUUAAUACAGGAGGGUCAUGACGGUACCGUAAGAAUAAGCACCGGCUAACUACGU
rnacentral:rRNA from 1 species